AUAGCGUAUAUUAAAGUUGUUGCGGUUAAAAAGCUCGUAGUUGGAUCUCAGGCCUAGUGCCGACGGUUCCACGGUUGUGGACUACUGUCGGCCUGGUCAUUUUGGUUCAGCCGUGCUGGGCGGCCUUUAACCGGGUCCACCAGCCGCUGAACAUGUUUACUUUGAAUAAAUUAGAGUGCUCAAAGCAGGCGCUUGUUGCCUGAAUAAUCUUGCAUGGAAUAAUGGAAUAGGACCUCGGUUCUGUUCUGUUGGUCUUCGGAAGCCGAGGUAAUGAUUAAGAGGGACAGACGGGGGCAUUCGUAUUGCGACGCUAGAGGUGAAAUUCUUGGACCGUCGCACGACGAACUACUG
rnacentral:rRNA from 1 species